AUGGCUCCGAGGGAGCACAUCUUCUUCCUCCUCUAUGCCAUCCCACUCCUCGUUCUUCCCUGUGCUGCAUCCACAACCAGCAACGACAGUUUCAGUUUUCUAUACAACGGCUUCUCCGGUGUCAACCUCACCCUCGACGGCAGCGCCAAGGUGACGCCGGAGGGGCUCCUCGAGCUCACCAACGACACCAUCAACCUCGGCCACGCCUUGUACCCGACCCCGCUGAGCCUGCGCGGGUCGCCCAACGGCACGGUGCGGUCCUUCUCCCUCAGCUUCGCCUUCGCCAUCCUCUCCGUCCACGACGGCAUAAGCGCCGACGGCAUGGCCUUCUUUGUCGCCCCCACCAAGAACCUCUCCAACACGUGGGCGCAGUACAUGGGCCUCCUCAACAGCGGCAACAAUGGCAACGCCAGCAACCACAUGUUCGCCGUCGAGCUCGACACCACCCAGAACAAGGAGUUCCAGGACAUGGACAACAACCACGUUGGCAUCGACAUCAACAGCCUCAACUCCUUGCAGGCCUACCGCACUGGGUACUACGAUGAUGAGAGUAGAGCCUUCAACAACUUGACUCUUAUCAGCGGCAAGGCGAUGCAGGUAUGGGCUGACUAUGAUGGGGUGUCCACGCAGAUCAACGUGUUCUUGGCUCCUCUGGGAGUAGCUAAGCCGGUGAGGCCGCUGCUUUCAUCUCCCUACAACCUCUCCACAGUUCUGAGAGAACCAUCGUACAUCGGCUUCGCAGCCACUACCGGCGCAAUCAGCACGAUCCACUGCGUUCUCGGCUGGAGCUUCGCCGUAAACGGCCCUGCUCCAGCCAUCGACACAUCUAAGCUCCCAAAGCUACCACGUCUUGGCCCAGAGCCUCGCUCCAAGGUCCUGGAGAUCACCCUGCCUAUUGCCACGGCCACGUUCGUCCUUGUAGUAGGAACUGUCAUCAUUUUGUUUCUUCGCAAGAGAUUCAGGUACAGGGAGCUGCGGGAAGAUUGGGAGGUCGAUUUCGGGCCACACCGCUUCUCCUUCAAGGACCUGUUCCAUGCCACGGAAGGGUUCAAGGAAAAGAAUCUGCUUGGUGUGGGCGGGUUCGGCAAGGUAUACAAAGGGACACUCCCAAAGUCCAAACUGAAAGUGGCGGUGAAGAGAGUGUCUCACGAGUCGAGGCAAGGGAUGAAGGAGUUCAUCGCGGAGGUUGUCAGUAUCGGCCGGCUCAGACACCGCAACCUUGUGCCCCUGCUUGGCUAUUGCCGAAGGAAAGGUGAACUUCUUUUGGUUUAUGACUACAUGUCAAAUGGAAGCCUCAAUCAGUAUUUAUACUUUAAAGAUGGCAAGCCAUCACUGAAUUGGGAGGAGAGGUUACAUAUUAUCAAGGGUGUCGCGUUCGGAUUGUUUUACCUUCACGAGAAGUGGGAGAAAGUUGUCAUACACCGAGACGUCAAGCCGAGCAACGUGCUUCUGGACAGUGAAAUGAAUGCAAGACUAGGUGACUUUGGUCUCUCAAGGUUGUACGAUCAUGGCACUGAUCCACAAACCACACAUAUGGUUGGAACCAUGGGAUACCUGGCGCCUGAGUUCGUACGGACGGGCAAGGCAUCCCCUCUGACGGACGUGUUUGCAUUCGGCAUAUUUCUCCUUGAGGUUACUUCUGGGCAGAGGCCUAUCAAGCAGAACCCAUUUGGCAACAAACAUACAUUGGUCGACUGGGUUAUAGAGCGUUGGCACAACGGAUCGCUCAUGGAUACCGUGGAUCAGAGACUGCGGGGUGACUACAACAUCGAUGAUGCAUCAUUGGUGCUGAAGCUAGGGCUUCUGUGCUCGCACCCUUUUACUAGCGCAAGGCCCACAAUGCGGCAAGUCAUGCAGUAUCUCGAAGGUGAUACACCACUCCCAGAGCUAACACCAGCACACUUCAGCUUCACUAUGCAGGCCUUGACGCAAAACAGAGGAUUGGAAUCACCAAACUUGCAAUACCCUCAGUUAUCGACGAGUUUUGCCACUUUUUCCGACCUUUCAGGAGGAAGAUAA
rnacentral:rRNA from 1 species